rnacentral:lncRNA from 1 species
UUUUGUUAUUUUUUUUUAGAUGGAGUCUCGCUCUGUUGCCCAGGCGUGCAAUGGCACAAUCUCAGCUCACUGCAACCUCUGCCUCCUGGGUUCAAGCAAUUCUCCUGUCUCAGCCUUUCGAGUAGCUGGGAUUACAGGCACGCGCCAUCAUGCCCAGCUAAUUUUUGUAUUUUUAGUAGAGACAGAGUUUCACCAUGUUGGCCAGGCUGGUCUCGAGCUCCUGGCCUCAGGUGAUCCACCCACCUCAGCCUCCCAAAGUGCUGGGAUCACAGGUGUGAGCCACUGCGCCCAGCUGAAUUCUGGCUGUUUUGAUUAGGGAUGCUGAACCUAUACAAUGGGUGUCACAAAACACAAACUCGAGAAGAUACCUGGAAGGGCUCCCAUGAGCUCUGGGACAGACCAGGUCACGGGCGUCUCAAAACAUUCAGAAAAUCAUCAUCAAGAGAACCUCUGGGCACAGACAGAAAAGUCUAGAAUGAAAGUCUUUCACGGUUAAAUGUUUGAUAAAUUAGAAGAGCAGUGAAACCACAGAGUCGGUGAAUGAGCAGCAGCCAGGCAGGGCAGGCCCUGGAGUUGAGUGGCAGCUGGGCAGAGCGGGCCCUGGAGGUGAGUAGCAGCUGGGUAUGCCCGGGAGGGCCCUGGAGGUGAGUGGCAAUUGGGGGGGAGGGGGGCCUGGAGGCGGGGCAGGCCCUGGAGGUGAAUAGCAGCUGGGUAUGCCCGGGCAGGCCCUGGAGGUGAGUGGCAGCGGGCAGGGUGGGCCCAGGAGGUGAGAGGCAGCCAGGCAGGGCAGGCCCUGGAGGUGAGUGGCAGCAGGUUAGGACGGGCCCUGGAGGUGAGUGGCAGCGGGCAGGGUGGGCCCUGGAGGUGAGUGGCAGCCAGGCAGGGCGGGCCCUGGAGGUGAGUGGCAGUCAGUUACUGCGGGCCCUGGAGGUGAGUGGCAGCCGGGCAGGGCGGGCCCUGGAGGUGAGUGGCAGCCAGUUACUGCAGGCCCUGGAGGUGAGUGGCAGCCAGGCAGGGCGGGCCCUGGAGGUGAGUGGCAGUCAGUUACUGCGGGCCCUGGAGGUGAGUGGCAGCAGGGCAGGGUGGGCCCUGGAGGUGAGUGGCAGCCAGGCAGGGCGGGCCCUGGAGGUGAGCGGUGGCAUGAACAUGUCCAGGAAUGAAGGCACCACAUUCCUGACAUGGAGAGGUGACACGCCAGGCUUCUGGUGCUCUGCAAAGAAACUAGUCUUCCGAUGCAGUUCCAAUUAAAAUCUGCAAAGUGCUUAAAAAAAAAAAAAAAAAA